rnacentral:rRNA from 1 species
UACGUAGGGUGCGAGCGUUGUCCGGAAUUAUUGGGGGUAAAGGGCUCGUAGGCGGUUUGUCGCGUCGGGAGUGAAAACCUUGGGCUUAACUCAGGGCUUGCUUUCGAUACGGGCAGACUAGAGGUAUGCAGGGGAGAACGGAAUUCCUGGUGUAGCGGUGAAAUGCGCAUAUAUCAGGAGGAACACCGGUGGCGAAGGCGGUUCUCUGGGCAUGAUCUGACGCUGAGGAGCGAAAGUGUGGGGAGCGAACAGG